GGUUUUGGAGCUAUGCUGUAGUCAGGAAUGAGUGAACUGGCUGUGCUAGAUAAUCUAUCCGAUGCAGCUCGCUACUCCUUUGCGGCUGUCUGUGCCUUGGCUUUGAAUCAUCUUUUUAAUAACGAUUGGGACCAACCUUUCAACGAAAAAUGUUUGAAAAAACUGUUGGACUUCUUAAAAUUACCUCAACAAACAUGUGGUACAAUGAUCGAGAUUAUGAAUACCGACACAGGCAUGAAAAUAGAGCCGUAUGUAUCACUUUUAAAAGAAGAACCACAUAUUCGAAACAAUCUGGCUGUCUUAAUACACACCCUGAUUGAGCUAGCGGUGGCUGAUGGAGUUUAUGAUGCAAGGUGGCGAGUGCUGGUGAAGUAUGUCUCAGAAAACUUCGAUCUCGAUGAUGAUUAUGUUGAUUCUGUGGAGUGUACAAUAGUCUACUAUUUAAAGCAAGAUCAUGUUCGAUCAAAAGAAGAAAUUCAAGGAGCUAAAUCCCGAGAGAGGAUGACUAAAGUUAAGCGUUACGCUAUGAUAGGCCUGGCUGGGAUUGGAGGUGGUGCAUUGAUAGGCGUAACUGGAGGCCUAGCUGCACCAUUAAUCGGUAAGGGUUUUUUUACGUAUUCAGUGUGAAUGGGUCUGUUGUUUACAAUACAUGAAGCCAAAUGAGUGAAAUUUAUACAGGAGAAAUUUCUUAAAAACGAAUGACAACAUCAGAAAUAUCUAAAAUCUAUUCUUAAAAGCCAACAUGGGGUAGUGCAUAAAGACAGUAAAACUUUGAAAAUGCUUAUCUCGGUUACAAUGUUUCAAAAUCUCUGCUCCUGUUUUGUUUUUUAAAAGUGGACCAAAACCAAGUCAUGGCUCGAAAUUGUCAUUUAUUAUUUCGUUCAUAGAAAAAGAAAAACCGCCAACGAAGUCCAUGGGCUAAAAUACCUCAAAAUUUUAACCUUGUCGGUUUUAUUUAUCUACCAAUAUAUUUUACAUUUACAGGUGCUGGUCUAGGAACAGUGAUAGGCACAUCAGCAGCCCUAACAGCACUAGGUUCAGCUGCAGGAGCAGCCGUUGUGGGAUCACUUUUCGGUGUAGCAGGUG
rnacentral:lncRNA from 1 species